rnacentral:rRNA from 1 species
UACGUGAGGUCCGAGCGUUGUCCGGAAUUAUUGGGUACGGUAAGGGCUCGUGAUGCGGUUCGUCACGAUCGGGAGUGAAAACUACGGCAGCUUCAACUCCCGUAGACCUGCUUCCGAUACGGGCAGGACUAGAGGUAGGCAGGGGAGAGCGGAACUCCUGGUGUAGCGGUGGAAAUGCGCAGAUAUCAGGAAGAACACCGGU